rnacentral:rRNA from 1 species
AACGAACGCUGGCGGCAGGCCUAAUACAUGCAAGUCGAGCGCGCCCUUCGGGGUGAGCGGCGGACGGGUGAGUAACGCGUGGGAAUAUGCCCUUCUCUAAGGAAUAGCCUCUGGAAACGGAGAGUAAUACCUUAUACGCCCUUUGGGGGAAAGAUUUAUCGGAGAAGGAUUAGCCCGCGUUAGAUUAGGUAGUUGGUGGGGUAAUGGCCUACCAAGCCUACGAUCUAUAGCUGGUUUGAGAGGAUGAUCAGCCACACUGGGACUGAGACACGGCCCAGACUCCUACGGGAGGCAGCAGUAGGGAAUCUUAGACAAUGGGGGCAACCCUGAUCUAGCCAUGCCGCGUGUGUGAUGAAGGCCCUAGGGUCGUAAAGCACUUUCGCCAGAGAUGAUAAUGACAGUAUCUGGUAAAGAAACCCCGGCUAACUCCGUGCCAGCAGCCGCGGUAAUACGGAGGGGGUUAGCGUUGUUCGGAAUUACUGGGCGUAAAGCGCACGUAGGCGGAUUAGUAAGUUAGAGGUGAAAUCCCAGGGCUCAACCCUGGAACUGCCUUUAAUACUGCUGGUCUUGAGUUCGAGAGAGGUAAGUGGAAUUCCGAGUGUAGAGGUGAAAUUCGUA